rnacentral:rRNA from 1 species
GACGAACGCUGGCGGCAUGCCUAAUACAUGCAAGUCGAGCGAACAGAUGAAGUGCUUGCACUUCUGACGUUAGCGGCGAACGGGUGAGUAACACGUAGGUGAUCUGCCCAUCAGACGGGGACAACGAUUGGAAACGAUCGCUAAUACCGGAUAGGACGAAAGUUUAAAGGUGCUUCUGGCACCGCUGAUGGAUGAGCCUGCGGCGCAUUAGCUAGUUGGUAGGGUAAAGGCCUACCAAGGCGACGAUGCGUAGCCGACCUGAGAGGGUGAUCGGCCACACUGGGACUGAGACACGGCCCAGACUCCUACGGGAGGCAGCAGUAGGGAAUCUUCCGCAAUGGACGAAAGUCUGACGGAGCAACGCCGCGUGAGCGAUGAAGGCCUUCGGGUCGUAAAGCUCUGUUGUUAGGGAAGAACAAGUAUCGGAGUAACUGCCGGUACCGUGACGGUACCUAACCAGAAAGCCACGGCUAACUACGUGCCAGCCGCCGCUGUAA